UACGUAGGGUGCAAGCGUUGUCCGGAAUUAUUGGGCGUAAAGAGCUCGUAGGCGGCUUGUCGCGUCGUCCGUGAAAACCUGCAGCUCAACUGCAGGCUUGCGGUCGAUACGGGCAGGCUAGAGUUCGGUAGGGGAGACGUGGAAUUCCUGGUGUAGCGGUGAAAUGACGCAGAUAUCAGGAGGAACACCGGUGGCGAAGGCGGGUCUCUGGGCCGAUACUGACGCUGAGGAGCGAAAGCGUGGGGAGCGAACAGG
rnacentral:rRNA from 1 species